rnacentral:rRNA from 1 species
AUAGUACCGCCGGUGUCCCAGUGAAAUCGUUACCUUGAUGAACCUGGGGGCGUAAGGUCCGCAAGGGUGUGACUCAAAAGGGAUUCCCCCCGAACCGCGCGCAAGCGGUGGAGCAUUUGGUUUAAUUCCGGAGAAACCUGAGCAACCUUUCCCAGGCUUGAAAGUUACUGAAGAUGCUAGAGACCCUUUCGUACUUCGAAACAGGAAACUCAAUGCUGCAUUGCUGUCGUCUGCUCGAACCGUGAGGUGUUGGCUUAAAUCCCGCGACGCCCCUCAACCCCUAUGUUUAGUCGUUAGGGGGGGGAGGCGGGGGCUCUCAACAGGCGCCCUGCGCAAACAGUGAGGAAGGGGGGGACGACGUCAAGUCAUCAUGGGCCAGGGUCCGGGGCUACACACAUGCUUCAAUGGUCGGGACAGAGGGCAGCCAGCCAGGAGCUGGUGCGCGAUCCCUUAAAGCCGAUCACAUUUCGGAUCGGGGCCUGCAACUCGAAGUCUGAAGCUGGAUUCGCUGGUAAUCGCGUAUCAGCAAUGACGCGGUGAAUGGGUUUCCGGGCCUUGUCCCCACCCCCCAUCGGACCAGGAACGCCAGGAAUGACCUAAGCAUGCUUCAGCGA